rnacentral:rRNA from 1 species
UAGGGAAUCUUCGGCAAUGGACGGAAGUCUGACCGAGCAACGCCGCGUGAGUGAAGAAGGUUUUCGGAUCGUAAAGCUCUGUUGUUAGAGAAGAACGUUGGUAGGAGUGGAAAAUCUACCAAGUGACGGUAACUAACCAGAAAGGGACGGCUAACUACGUGCCAGCAGCCGCGGUAAUACGUAGGUCCCGAGCGUUGUCCGGAUUUAUUGGGCGUAAAGCGAGCGCAGGCGGUUCUUUAAGUCUGAAGUUAAAGGCAGUGGCUUAACCAUUGUACGCAUUGGAAACUGGAGUACUUGAGUGCAGAAGGGGAGAGUGGAAUUCCAUGUGUAGCGGUGAAAUGCGUAGUUAUAUGGAGGAACACCGGUGGCGAAGGCGGCUCUCUGGUCUGUAACUGACGCUGGGGCUCGAAAGCGUGGGAAGCAAACAGG